UUUUGCUGCCGCUGCUGACGGAGCUGUCUCCGGAAAACCAGAUGCGGAUGUAACUGCUGCUGAGGUAAUAAGAGAUUUCUUAAAGAACUGGCGGCGGUUCAGACGUUUUGUCAUUUUUACAAUCCUCUUGAUUACAAUUGGAUCUAUUUGUUCAAUUUCACAUAUUUGAAUUUUUUAUUGUCAACUAAGCAACAAGCUCUCAGAAAGUAGUUAAGUCGUACUCAAGUUCAAAUCUCAUUUUGUGCUCAGCCUCUUCCUGAGCCAACUUCAGGAAAAUGUCUCGGAGUUCCUGUGUCUGUGCUACGGUUGCCAAAUCCGUGUAAAGCUUACGUGCAGUAUCCUCCUUUUUCAUGCCAACUAUGAGCAAGUCGACGUAAUUCAUCUUGGCGUACGGUUUGACGUCCUCCACAUGG
rnacentral:rRNA from 1 species